rnacentral:rRNA from 1 species
UACAGAGGGGGCAAGCGUUGUUCGGAAUUACUGGGCGUAAAGGGCGCGUAGGCGGCCCGCUAAGUCGAACGUGAAAUCCCCGAGCUCAACUCGGGAACUGCGUCCGAUACUGGCGGGCUUGAGUCCGGGAGAGGGAUGCGGAAUUCCAGGUGUAGCGGUGAAAUGCGUAGAUAUCUGGAGGAAUACCGGUGGCGAAGGCGGCAUCCUGGACCGACAUUGACGCUGAGGCGCGAAAGCCAGGGGAGCAAACGGG